GACGAACGCUGGCGGCGUGCUUAACACAUGCAAGUCGAACGGAAAGGCCCUGCUUUUGUGGGUUUCUCGAGUGGCGAACGGGUGAGUAACACGUGAGUAACCUGCCCUUGACUUUGGGAUAACUUCAGGAAACUGGGGCUAAUACCGGAUAGGAGCUCCUGCUGCAUGGUGGUGGUUGGAAAGUUUCGGCUGUUGGGGAUGGACUCGCGGCUUAUCAGCUUGUUGGUGGGGUAGUGGCUUACCAAGGCUUUGACGGGUAGCCGGCAUGAGAGGGUUAACGGCCACAUUGCGACUGAGAUACGCACCAGACUGCUACGGGCGGCAGCAGUCGGAAAUAUUGCACAGUGGGCGGAAGCCUGAUGCAGCAACGCCGCGUGCGGAAUGCCGGCCUUCGGGUUAUAAACCGCUUUCGCCUGUGACGAAGCGUGAGUGACGGUACUGGGUAAAGAAGCAACGGCUAACUACGUG
rnacentral:rRNA from 1 species